AAUAGCCUCAGCCUCUUUAGCAAAUGCAACCCCAUGCCCCAUAAUCCUGGAGUCACUUCAAUCCAGCUGGCACUUAUUUGUGCAGUUGGAGCUGGCACUUACUUGCUGAAUCCCAUGAGACCUCGUCAGAGACAUGCCAGACCAUACUAUGGAGAAAUAGAUUUUCUUCCCACUUCUCAACUCUGACAAGACUUGGAGAGUACGGGAAAGCCAAGUUCUGCCCAGUGCCAGCCCACAGGAGACCCAGAGUUCAUUGUCAUCCUAACACUGCUCCUGAACCGCAUGCUGCUGCUGUGUGAUGGUGUUUGUGGAAGUUGAAUGCAAACAGUGAUGGACUGUGGAUGCAGGGGGCUAAAUCAGUUUUCCUUUGAUCACAGCCUGGAUGGUGAGAGUGAUUCCCAUGUGUGAUCAACUCUCUCUGGCUAGCCAAGGAGCAAUAUUCUAACAGUUAAUUGUCAUUGAUUGUUAAAAGUCAUUGAUGAAAAAACAAGGGAUUAAAAACAAUUAUUUGUUUUCGUAGAAUGAAUGACUCCUUACUGUAAUAUAGCUUCCCAUGCAUGGUAGCCUUCUCCUGGGCUUUAAAGUUAAAGGCUGAAAAAUGAAUUAAAAAAUCUCAGUGUAGAAAGGUAUCUGCUUCUGAGUUCUCCCUCACCAGCUGACUGCCAGUCAAGAGGAAAGGAGAAGGAGCUACUGAUUGGCUGUUACCUGUCUUCUUAUCUGAGAGUACUGUAUAAUUAUCAUGAUACAAACUGUAACAUCUCUGUAAUUCAGCUGCUCCUUUCUGAGGCUCAGUUUUGAUUCGGACUGCACCAGACUCUGAAGGGAGAGGAGCCACCCAUGUAAACAUGAAGCUGAAAUGAUGCUAAACUUCCCCUGAGCAGAGGAGUCUACAGAAUUUUAGCCUAAGGAAUAGCAGCACAGAUUCAGCUCCAGAGAUAAAGUUAGGGCAAGAUGGGAACUGUAUCUGUUAGAAACAUCAGUCCUUUUGUCCACUCCUCCCAGGAACCUGCUCUUCAACACCUUAUUACCACCUACAGAACAAAGCAGAUACUAUGUGAUUCAGCAGUGGACUCUUAAUGAAAAGUAUAUGUUUUUUUUUUGCUUUUGCAGUUUUAGCAGUUCUCACAGUUAUCUGUAAUGAACAGUUUUCAUUGACAGAAAAUUAUAGGAAAGGACAUUUGAUUCUGCACUAAACUUUCCACGAGAAAAGAUACUUAAUUAAAACCAGUGAUUUUGUUAAAACUGCUAAAGACGCGUGCAGGUGGCCCUUCCCUGCCUGUUCUUUAAGAUGAAAUCACUGCCUGCUUUCAAUUGCUUUCUGAGUCGACAAUGUGUGCACAAAGCCAGGCAUUAAAGAUGAAUCUUUGCCACUUGAAUAGCACAGUGGAGCUAUAGCAAGCUAGAUUUGAGGAGGGAAGGAUGUUAUCACAAAAUAUACUGUGAGACCACAAGAAAGAUGUUGCUUCUUUGUACAUCAGAGUGCUAUGGGUAUCAACUUUUUCCUCAGCUGUGGUGCUCCACGGAAGAGGAUAAUGGUAGUGGAUCUGGAGACCCAUGCAUUGCAAGAAGGUAUCAAUAAGGCACAAAAUACUUAGUAUCAUUGCAAAAAAGAAUAGGAUUGCUACCAGCAUUUUCCAUUUUCAGCAGAUCUGACAUAUGAGGAACCAAAAUGCAGGAGAGGCAGAUCUACCUUUCAAAAUGUAUGAAUGGGCCAAAAGGAUUACUGUGGACUUAGAUCUAAGACAUGCAAAAUGCUACACAAGUAAGUGAACUUCAUGUGUGGGUACAGGCUGGAGACUGCAGGAAAGGAUCUUGGUGUCCUAGAAGGAAGAAAGUAAUUUUGAAUCAACAGUAAACUCUUGUAACAAUGCAAAAGAAUCAAAAGUAGGUCAAAGGAAAUGAUGAUUCACUUUUACUUGGCACUCGUGAGGCUGCAUCUGGAGUAGUCUUCAGUUCUGGGAGUCUUCAGUUCUGGGAGUGAGUCCAGAGGUCAGUAAGAUGGUGAGGAGCUGCAGCAUAUGACCUUAGAUAGGAUAAGGGAAGUGGGGGGAAAAUAAAAAGAAUUCUAAUAAUCCUCUUCAGCCAUCUAGUCAGGAGAAGAGAGUUGUAGAGAACACAAAUCUUGCCUCUUCUGAGAGAUGCACAAUCAAAGCACAAUGGAUGGUGAUCAGUUUGCAGGAAACAAAGUUCAAACUGGUCAUAAAGAAAAUUCUUCUCUGUGACAGUGAUUAAGAACUGUGACAGUGAUUAAGAACAGGCUGUGCAGAGACAUCAUGGGAUCCCGAAUUCUCCAUCCGUGGACAUUUUCAAAAUUUGACAGAAGGACACCCUGAGCAACUUCAUAUAACAUGGCAGUCUGCUGUGACUUCAGCAGGGAGACUAGAGAGCUCCCAAUAUCACUUCCUACCCAGAGUAUUCCAUGACAUGUAUAAAAUGGCAGCAUCUUGAGAGCUACUACAGAGCACCUAGCUGUUUUGGGGGUAUGGGGCUGUUAGGCACUAUUGAAAGCUGAAAGAAGAUGGAUCCUGUUAGUUUGGUAAAAAGGGCUGAACUUGUAAUGGUAUCCAUGGCAUCAACUGUUCUCAUUAGGAACUUCUUCAAAAUGGAUGACAUUAUAUUUACAAAUGUGGGUUUGCAAUGACUUCAUAAGAGGAUUACUCAUAAAGAACUGCAUUUUAUAGCUUCCUCCUCACCAAGCCUUUCUUCAUGGGUAAGACCUUGUUUAAAGGUUCCUGAAGUGGUCUGGGGAGAAUUUCAGGUUUUGUUUACAACAAAAGGUUGGGGAAAAACUUUGGUAAAUGUCAUCAUGUAAGACAACUGAUUUUCUAGAAGACAGUUAAGGACCUAGAAUAUUUUAAAACCAGAAGGAAUGUCAAGAUUUUCAAGUGAGUCUCAUAUUUUUUCAAACCCUGACUUAAUAUGGUUGAACAAAAUUUAUUUUGGAAAUGUGUUGCUGGAGCUUUUCCAUCCCAAGAGCACAAGGAAACAAACUCCCCAAGAUGUGAGCACUGAAGUCUAAUGCAAGUUCCUGAAGGGAAUCAGUAAGUGUAGGCUCACCACCAAUAUUUAAGAGCCUUGUGUUUGCAUCAAAGUUGCUGAUGUGACUCAGAAUGGUCACUUGAGAUUUAAUGAGGCUGGAAACAGUGCAAGAAUCACUGUCCUCUGCUUGUAAGAGCAAAGGCCCUUCAGUCAGUGUUCACUUGAGCAGUGCAGUCAGAAUAUGCUGACCUGGGGUAAUUUUGUUCCUAGCGCAUAGUGCUUCAGCAGGUAGAUGAGUGGGGUGAGAUGAGAGCAUGUAAUAAAAACACCGUGGAGAGAAUGAGAUGAUGAAACACUUUCAGUUUCAUUUUCUGGAGAUAGAAGGACUCUCACUCACUGACUGCUUUUUUACUCUAUGAUAUUAAAAAAAAAACAACAGAAGAACUUCCUGAUCAGUCUUGGGAUUAGUACAGUGUUUAAACUCAUAUAAUUACUGUGAUGAAUUACAUGCCUGCCAUUGAUCUCCUUAUCUGCCCCAAAAGUACUUAUAGGAUGUUCCUUUUGCCUUCUCAAAGUACUGAGUUUGAAGUGAAUUUCUGUUUACUUAUGUUCAUAGCUAAUCAAAGGAAUCAAAAUGAGCUGUACAUGACUAAUUGACCAGUUUGUUUUACUGUUAUCCAUGGUAAUGCUGAUAAAGGUUUUCUGACAGCAUGCAAAUCAAGCUGCUAUCAGCAAAAGGCAUUCCCUGUAUAAAAAGCAAAGAAGCAGGCAAGCUGCAGUCAUUAACCUAGGAAAGAUAGAAGCUGCUUGGGAAAAAGGAGCUGCCUUUCAAAGGAAAUGUCGGGGUGGGGAGUGGAAUAGGAUUUAAUGAGAUGAAAGGACAAGAGACCUGAGGCCUAAUUAACUCCCAGAAGAUCUCUCUGAGUGUUCAGCCGAAGCCAAACUUAGCAGUCCUUCCACCUACAUUGAAAUUAAAGUUUAAUUUGGUGUCUAAGGGGUGAGGAAAGACCUGCAUUAUCAAGCAUAGAAAUCAAUGAACCUUGUGAAGGAAAAUGUCACACUUCUGCUUGCAGCACAGAAGCUUGAGAAGGAAAAGGUGAAGAUAUAAGACAACACUUACUCUCGGUGUUGGGAAUGGGAGAGAUGGAUGCUAAUCCAUAAAUUUGUCACUUCCUCUCUCACCAUAAAAUAAUUUCCAUUUCCAUUGAAGAGGGCAAUGUAGAGGUUUUUCUUUGUGUUUGUGGCCAUUUUUGCUGUUUUAAAAGUCCAGAGAACUGUUGCAGAACUUUUUACCUGGUUUAAUGCAGGUAUCUAGCAGACAGGUGAAAUACACAUUUCCAUACACAGUGGACUUAAAUAUUUCAAGACAUUCUCGUUGUGAUACUGGGUGUUUUGUCCUCCUUGCCACACCCACAAAUCGCUAGCAUCAGACACCCAGUUUCUGUAUGGAAGGGGAAUAAAUUUCCAUGCAGAAACUUUCCUGAGUAACAACUAUCAACCUAAAUUAGUGCAAGUCAUGAGUAGCAGGUAGGAGCAAGAACAGUAGAUGGUAUGAAAGUACUGCCCAUUGUCAACUGACUGCAGAUGGCCUGAACCCCAGGCUUUCCCCAAAAAAGUGGAGCUCUCUCCCUGGGGAAACACUGCAUUGAGAACAGUAGAUACUCAACAAAAAAAACAUCUGCAAAUUGGUCUCUAUUGGCCAGUACCAUUCUAGUGAAGCCACCUUUGCUCUUCCUGUGCCAUUCCUCAUCAGCCACCUUUCAGCUCUCAUCCCAUGUCACAUCAGCUGCAGGUACCUUAGACACUGUUCUACUACCUGAUAUUUUCCCAACAGCAUGCGUGGGUACACCAUAGUAUUAUCAUUAUCACAGUGCUUGGAAGCUAAAAAAUAUUUUCAUUCAUCUUCACAAUGAAGAGAAUAUCAGCAGAAAGACAAAACUAUGUAAAACAGGUAAGUACAUGUACUCUUCCCAAUACCUGGCCCAACAGGCAGGUGGCUCUUAGGAAAAGACAUUGGCUUGAUCCACAUGGUGGACUUGGAUAUCAUUUGCAUAGAGCCACUUCAUGGAUUACCUCACACAAGGGUGGGUGACCAGCACUCCACUUUUCAUUCAUGCAGAAGGUGGCCUUGAAAUCAAAUAAACUAUAGUCUCAUUGUUUGUUUUGCUGGCAAAACAAUAGGUAUAGUUCAUCCUGAAAAGCCGUGUGUGCAUGUGUGCAGAGUGCAGAAAGAGUAGCUUGUCCCUUAGUUUAAAAAAUAUCCUGUAAUCUUCUUGAAGCAGAAAGGUUUCCUAAAAUGUCAUGUUUUUACAGUUUCCAAGUACUUUAUCAUGCCCAGUGGAAAGUGAUAAAAAAAGCUAAAACUUGCCUCCAUGUGGAAAGGUUUUUCUGGGCUGAAAUUCACAGCCUCAGCUGACCAUAAUUUUCAGCAUGCCUGCAGCUGGUCUAUCAACUUUGUAUUUUCAGCUCUUUACACUUGUAUCCCAUCUUCACUAGAAGGUCUUUCCCUUCACACUUGCUUCACAGUACCAGUUGGUCACAGUUAAGGUUACCUGGUCAGCCCUGAGCUUUAGUAGGCGUUCUGCUUCCUUCUGCACAUCAUAUGGAUCCUUCAUGCAACAGACCUGCUGCUACAGUUGUUUAGAUACCAUUAAAUGAGAUGUCCAAAUUACAACCUUUUCCUGUUCGUCCCUCACAAAAUACUGUGGAUGCUGUAGUAAGACCAAGCUGUAAGUCUCACCCAAGCAAGUUUGGCAUCCCACAUAAUUCCAUAGUAAAGAGCUGAAAUAGCUCCUAUCUCGCUCUGCCCAAUGAUGCCAGCUCAGGCAUGGAUAGCUCCCCCCUGAUCUAUCUCCUGUUGGAUCAAACCAAAUUUUACUCUAGGACUGCAAAAGAGUAAGCCUACACCUUUUCAGCUGCAGUUAAUCAGAGUUUAUCCGCCAGCCCCUGUGAGAAACAGUGAAAACCCAUCUGAAUCACUUUCAGAAUUAAGUCAUUUUUUGCCAUUGUCUUGAGAAUAAUCUUGGAAUUAGAAAGCACUAAUCCUGCUACAACUUUUACCCACUAAAAACCUCCACCAACUUCAGAGCUCUUGAUA